rnacentral:misc_RNA from 1 species
GGGACUGAUAAAAGGUUGCAGAAAGAGAAUGGAGAAAGACGGAACUGUUACUGAUUCGGAGAUUGAAGGGAAGAAGAAAUCGUUGAUUGAAGUGUUGUUAACACUGCAAGAAAAGGAACCGGAAUAUUACAAAGACGAAAUAAUCAGAAGCCUUAUGCUUGUACUAUUAGCAGCAGGUACUGAUACUUCAGUUGGGACAAUGGAAUGGGCUUUAUCACUUAUGUUAAACCAUCCUGAAACACUGAAGAAAGCACAAGCUGAAAUCGAC